rnacentral:rRNA from 1 species
AGAGUUUGAUCAUGGCUCAGAUUGAACGCUGGCGGCAGGCCUAACACAUGCAAGUCGAGCGGAUGAAGGGGGCUUGCUCCUGGAUUCAGCGGCGGACGGGUGAGUAAUGCCUAGGAAUCUGCCUGGUAGUGGGGGAUAACGUCCGGAAACGGGCGCUAAUACCGCAUACGUCCUGAGGGAGAAAGUGGGGGAUCUUCGGACCUCACGCUAUCAGAUGAGCCUAGGUCGGAUUAGCUAGUUGGUGGGGUAAAGGCCUACCAAGGCGACGAUCCGUAACUGGUCUGAGAGGAUGAUCAGUCACACUGGAACUGAGACACGGUCCAGACUCCUACGGGAGGCAGCAGUGGGGAAUAUUGGACAAUGGGCGAAAGCCUGAUCCAGCCAUGCCGCGUGUGUGAAGAAGGUCUUCGGAUUGUAAAGCACUUUAAGUUGGGAGGAAGGGCAGUAAGUUAAUACCUUGCUGUUUUGACGUUACCAACAGAAUAAGCACCGGCUAACUUCGUGCCAGCAGCCGCGGUAAUACGAAGGGUGCAAGCGUUAAUCGGAAUUACUGGGCGUAAAGCGCGCGUAGGUGGUUCAGCAAGUUGGAUGUGAAAUCCCCGGGCUCAACCUGGGAACUGCAUCCAAAACUACUGAGCUAGAGUACGGUAGAGGGUGGUGGAAUUUCCUGUGUAGCGGUGAAAUGCGUAGAUAUAGGAAGGAACACCAGUGGCGAAGGCGACCACCUGGACUGAUACUGACACUGAGGUGCGAAAGCGUGGGGAGCAAACAGGAUUAGAUACCCUGGUAGUCCACGCCGUAAACGAUGUCGACUAGCCGUUGGGAUCCUUGAGAUCUUAGUGGCGCAGCUAACGCGAUAAGUCGACCGCCUGGGGAGUACGGCCGCAAGGUUAAAACUCAAAUGAAUUGACGGGGGCCCGC